UUCGUGAGUUAAACUUUGUGGCAGUAAGUUAAGCCGUGUCAGUCAUGUAGUGGACGUUAGUUGUUUUGUGAUGGACCAGCCUAGAAUUUUCUUCUGGGCUGGUCCCUGGCCCAAGUCCCAGUUAUCACCUAUCGCUAGCACCUGAAUCCACAUUACACUGUGGCCAAAGCUAUUCUUUGUCGUUCCUUUUAUUUCGACUUCGCCGCUGGGUAAAUGACCUGGCCUAGAUAAAGAAUGCCUCUAAGGGCAUCCUCUACAUCUGUUUCAAGUAAGUUACGCAUCCUUUAUUAGAAGUAUUGAGAUGUCUUCUCGCGUGUCCAGAACAAGGAACUUAUGUUUGUGUUUCUUCCGUGGGAUAAGUUCAUUGACUUACAGUUUUAGCCCAUUUUUAGUGUUAAUAGUGACAUUUACAUAUAUGCCGGUCACUUGUUUUUUAUUUUUAAUAUUUAAAUAAAAGACAUUUUCACCAUGUAAAUUUUUUUGAGUAUCUUUAGAGUAUUAUUAUUGAGUAUUAUUAGAUUUAUAUAUAAUAUAUAAACAAAGAGCUCUUUCUUUUUUGUUGUAAGUGAACGGUAAGAAUAAGUUUUAUUUAGAGUAUCGAUUUUUUAUUUUUUUGAGUAACUUCAGUUUAUUUUUUUUGAGUUAAUAAGAGUUAUAUUCGUUCACUUACAUUAUAGGUACAUCUCGUAUUUUGUUAGUUUUGCGGUGUUGGUGAAUACACCAACGUAUAUGCAAUUUGUUAACCAUUUUUAAAUAAUUAUUGAGUAAUUUUUGUUUUUGUGGUUGACGUUUUUACGUUUUAUUUGCAUAUAUUAUGUGAGCAUUAAGAGAUUUCAUUGAGUAUUUUAAUAAAUGUUACAUUGAAACUUA
rnacentral:lncRNA from 1 species